GACAGAGGUGCCGAGCGUUAGGCGGAAUCACUGGGCUUAAAGCGUGUGUAGGCGGGCCGUUAAGUGUCUUGUGAAAUCCCCCCGGCUCAACCGGGGAAUUGCUGGGCAUACUGGCGGUCUUGAGCAAUCUAGGGGCAGAUGGAACAAGUGGUGGAGCGGUGAAAUGCGUAGAUAUCACUUGGAACGCCAACGGUGAAGACAGUCUGCUGGGGAUUUGCUGACGCUGAGACACGAAAGCCAGGGGGAGCGAACGGGG
rnacentral:rRNA from 1 species